CAAACCCUCAAGCUCCGCUUGGAAUUAGGCGUCGUCCCGUCAAAUGGGCGCGCCUCAAAGACGUUGGCGGUGGCAUCGAGCCUCAAGCGUAGUAGAAACAUUUCGCUUCCGAGGCCUCGAAGGUCGCUCGCUUCGAGAACCCAACACCUCAA
rnacentral:misc_RNA from 1 species